UACAGAGGGGGCAAGCGUUAUUCGGAAUUAUUGGGCGUAAAGGGCGCGUAGGCGGCUUUUCAAGUGACGGGUGAAAUCCCUCGGCUUAACCGAGGAACUGCCUGUCAGACUGGAAGGCUUGAGACCGGGAGAGGUGAGUGGAAUUCCCAGUGUAGCGGUGAAAUGCGUAGAUAUUGGGAGGAACACCAGUGGCGAAGGCGGCUCACUGGACCGGUACUGACGCUGAGGCGCGAAAGCGUGGGGAGCAAACGGG
rnacentral:rRNA from 1 species